AGCCUGGACACAGGUGCUGCAUGGCUGUCGUCAGCUCGUGUCGUGAGAUGUUGGGUUAAGUCCCGCAACGAGCGCAACCCUUGUCAUUAAUUGCCAUCAUUCAGUUGGGCACUUUAACGAGACUGCCGGUGACAAACCGGAGGAAGGUGGGGAUGACGUCAAGUCCUCAUGGCCCUUAUGGGUAGGGCUUCACACGUCAUACAAUGGUCGGUACAGAGGGUUGCCAAGCCGCGAGGUGGAGCCAAUCCCAGAAAGCCGAUCGUAGUCCGGAUUGUAGGCUGCAACUCGCCUGCAUGAAGUCGGAAUCGCUAGUAAUCGCGGAUCAGCAUGUCGCGGUGAAUACGUUCCCGGGUCUUGUACACACCGCCCGUCACACCAUGGGAGCGGGUUCCGCCAGAAGUGGGUAGCCUAACCGCAAGGAGGGCGCUUACCACGGCGGGGUUCGUGACUGGGGUGAAGUCGUAACAAGGAACCGUA
rnacentral:rRNA from 1 species